UACGGAGGAUCCAAGCGUUAUCCGGAAUUACUGGGCGUAAAGAGUUGCGUAGGUGGCAUAGUAAGUAAAUAGUGAAAGCGUGUGGCUCAACCAUACAUCCAUUAUUUAAACUGCUAAGCUAGAGUAUGAGAGAGGUAGAUGGAAUUCCCUGUGUAGGAGUGAAAUCCGUAGAUAUAGGGAGGAACACCGAUGGCGUAGGCAGUCUACUGGCUCAUUACUGACACUAAGGCACGAAAGCGUGGGGAGCAAACGGG
rnacentral:rRNA from 1 species